AUUGAACGCUGGCGGCAGGCCUAACACAUGCAAGUCGAGCGGAUGACGGGAGCUUGCUCCUUGAUUCAGCGGCGGACGGGUGAGUAAUGCCUAGGAAUCUGCCUGGUAGUGGGGGACAACGUUUCGAAAGGAACGCUAAUACCGCAUACGUCCUACGGGAGAAAGCAGGGGACCUUCGGGCCUUGCGCUAUCAGAUGAGCCUAGGUCGGAUUAGCUAGUUGGUGGGGUAAUGGCUCACCAAGGCGACGAUCCGUAACUGGUCUGAGAGGAUGAUCAGUCACACUGGAACUGAGACACGGUCCAGACUCCUACGGGAGGCAGCAGUGGGGAAUAUUGGACAAUGGGCGAAAGCCUGAUCCAGCCAUGCCGCGUGUGUGAAGAAGGUCUUCGGAUUGUAAAGCACUUUAAGUUGGGAGGAAGGGCAGUAAGUUAAUACCUUGCUGUUUUGACGUUACCGACAGAAUAAGCACCGGCUAACUCUGUGCCAGCAGCCGCCGUAACAC
rnacentral:rRNA from 1 species